AGCGGCGAGCGAACGGGGAGCAGCCCAGAGCCUGAAUCAGUGUGUGUGUUAGUGGAAGCGUCUGGAAAGGCGCGCGAUACAGGGUGACAGCCCCGUACACAAAAAUGCACAUGCUGUGAGCUCGAUGAGUAGGGCGGGACACGUGGUAUCCUGUCUGAAUAUGGGGGGACCAUCCUCCAAGGCUAAAUACUCCUGACUGACCGAUAGUGAACCAGUACCGUGAGGGAAAGGCGAAAAGAACCCCGGCGAGGGGAGUGAAAAAGAACCUGAAACCGUGUACGUACAAGCAGUGGGAGCACGCUUAGGCGUGUGACUGCGUACCUUUUGUAUAAUGGGUCAGCGACUUAUAUUCUGUAGCAAGGUUAACCGAAUAGGGGAGCCGAAGGGAAACCGAGUCUUAACUGGGCGUUAAGUUGCAGGGUAUAGACCCGAAACCCGGUGAUCUAGCCAUGGGCAGGUUGAAGGUUGGGUAACACUAACUGGAGGACCGAACCGACUAAUGUUGAAAAAUUAGCGGAUGACUUGUGGCUGGGGGUGAAAGGCCAAUCAAACCGGGAGAUAGCUGGUUCUCCCCGAAAGCUAUUUAGGUAGCGCCUCGUGAAUUCAUCUCCGGGGGUAGAGCACUGUUUCGGCAAGGGGGUCAUCCCGACUUACCAACCCGAUGCAAACUGCGAAUACCGGAGAAUGUUAUCACGGGAGACACACGGCGGGUGCUAACGUCCGUCGUGAAGAGGGAAACAACCCAGACCGCCAGCUAAGGUCCCAAAGUCAUGGUUAAGUGGGAAACGAUGUGGGAAGGCCCAGACAGCCAGGAUGUUGGCUUAGAAGCAGCCAUCAUUUAAAGAAAGCGUAAUAGCUCACUGGUCGAGUCGGCCUGCGCGGAAGAUGUAACGGGGCUAAACCAUGCACCGAAGCUGCGGCAGCGACGCUGAUGCGUUGUUGGGUA
rnacentral:rRNA from 1 species